GCCGAACAUCCGGAAGAGGAGAAGUCGCUUAUCAGAUUCGCCAUGGGUAAGGUUCAUGGAUCCUUGGCUCGUGCCGGUAAGGUGAGAGGCCAGACACCAAAGGUUGCUAAACAAGACAAGAAGAAGAAGCCACGAGGACGUGCCCACAAAAGGAUGCAAUACAACCGCAGAUUCGUCACUGCCGUUGUUGGCUUUGGAAAGAAGAGA
rnacentral:misc_RNA from 1 species